rnacentral:rRNA from 1 species
AUGGAUGAGGUCACAAGGGAUAUACAAGGAGAUAUCCCAUGGUGUAUGCUCUUUGCGGAUGAUGUGGUGCUAGUUGACGAUAGUCGGACAGGGGUAAAUAGAAAGUUAGAAUUAUGGAGACAAACCUUGGAAUCGAAAGGGUUUAGGCUUAGUAGAAUUAAAACCGAGUACAUGAUGUGCGGUUUCAGUACUACUAGGUGUGAGGAGGAGGAGGUUAGCCUUGAUGGCCAGGUGGUUCCCCAGAAGGACACCUUUCGGUAUUUGGGGUCAAUGCUGCAGGGGGAUGGGGGUAUUGAUGAAGAUGUGAACCAUCGAAUCAAAGCCGGAUGGAUGAAGCGGCGCCAAGCUUCUGGCAUUCUCUAUGACAAGAGAGUACCACAAAAGCUAAAAGGCAAGUUCUACAGGACGGCGGUUCGACCCGCAAUGUUGUAUGGCGCUGAGUGUUGGCCGACUAAACGGCGACAUGUUCAACAGUUAGGUGUGGCGGAGAUGCGUAUGUUGAGAUGGAUGUGUGGCCACACGAGGAAGGAUCGAGUCCGGAAUGAUGAUAUACGAGAUAGAGUUGGGGUAGCACCAAUUGAAGAGAAGCUUGUCCAACAUCGUCUGAGAUGGUUUGGGCAUAUUUAG